rnacentral:rRNA from 1 species
UACAGAGGUCCCAAGCGUUGUUCGGAUUCACUGGGCGUAAAGGGUGCGUAGGCGGUUUGGUAAGUCUUAUGUGAAAUCUACAGGCUCAACUUGUAGUCUGCAUGAGAAACUGCCGGGCUUGAGUGUGGGAGAGGUGAGUGGAAUUCCUGGUGUAGCGGUGAAAUGCGUAGAUAUCAGGAGGAACACCUGUGGCGAAAGCGGCUCACUGGACCAUAACUGACGCUGAUGCACGAAAGCUAGGGGAGCAAACAGG